UGACAGUCUAGAGACCUCAAAAUGAUUCUGGUGACAUAUCUGCUCUGUGUCUUUUACCUUUAUAUACAAGAUUCCUGUGGUCAGAUUGUGAUGACUCAGAC